UAAUGAGCUUCUCUUAAAGAACACGCUCAUUAAUUAAUAUACUUUAGUUAAUAAAUAAUCCUUAAUGGACCCCCCCCAAUGAAUGGUUCGGUCCAGAAACUCCUCUAAGGCUCCCCCAUCAAUGAACUUAAUUAAUUAAAAUUAAUUAAUUCGUGUUGAUGAUUGUCACCGUAAUGAGCUUCUCCUAAAGAGCCAGCUCGUUAAUUAAUAUACUUUAAUUAAUAAAUAAGCAACCUCCCCACCCCGCAGGAAUGGUUCGGUCCAGAAAUCCCCUUAAGGCUGCCCGUUAAUGAACAGUGCUAAUUAAUUAAUUAAUUAAUUUCUGUUAAUGACCGCCAGCUUAUGGAGCUUCUGUUAAAGAACAUCCUCGUUAAUUUACAUAUUGUAAUUAAUAGAUUUCCUCCAUUAAUAACCCCCUAAUUAACAGCCCCAUUAAUCGUGUCUAAUUAGCUGUGUUAAUGACUUCCCCAUUAAUUACCCCUAAUUAAUGCUGUUAAUGACUCUCCCUAUUAAUACCCCCCCUCAUUAAUUACCUCCCUAAUUAAUUCCCUGUAAUUACGGCCCGGUGGGUCGAUGAGGGCGCUAAUUAACGCUAAUUAACGCUAAUUAAUUCUGUUAAUUGCAGUGGACUCCAUCUGCCUGCGCUGGGCGCCCCCGAAGCACAAACAGGCCAAGGUGGCCAAGAAGUGAAAUUCCCCUUUUGCCCAAUUUUGCCGUUUUUCACCCCAAAUUUGGGGAUUUUUUCCCUCCAGUUUUGGGGUUUUUCCUCCAAUUUUUGGGUUUUCCCCAAAUUUUUGGGUUUUCCUCUCAAAUUUUGGGGUUUUCUGCCAAAUUUUUGGGGUUUCCCCCUCAGUUUUUGGAUUUUCCCCAAAUUUUGGGGAUUUUCCCUCCCAAAUUUUUGUGUUUUUCCCCCAAAUUUUUGUGUUUUUCCCCCAGAUUUUUGGCUUUUCCCCCCAAAUUUUGGGGUUCCCCAUUUUGGGGUCCCCCCGAUAUUUUGGGGGUCCCCAUUUCCCUCCCCCUCCCCAAUUUUGGGGUCUCCCCCACCCCAAAUAAAGCAGGAAAAGGACGGGGAGGGGUCUCGGAGUUUUUAUUUUUGGGGAAUUUUUUGGGGGGGAAUUUGGGGCUCAAUUUUGGGGUCCCACUCCCAUUUUUGGGGUCCCCACCCCAAUUUUGGCGUUUUC
rnacentral:lncRNA from 1 species